rnacentral:rRNA from 1 species
CUAAUACAUGCAAGUCGAACGGGGCAGCAAUGCCUAGUGGCGCACGGGUGCGUAACGCGUAUGCAACCUACCUUUCAGCGGGGGAUAGCCCGGGGAAACCCGGAUUAAUACCGCAUAAGAUCAUAGAAUGGCAUCAUUUAGUGAUUAAACAUUUAUGGCUGAAAGAUGGGCAUGCGUUAGAUUAGCUAGUUGGUGAGGUAGCAGCUCACCAAGGCGAUGAUCUAUAGGGGUUCUGAGAGGAAGAUCCCCCACACUGGUACUGAGAUACGGACCAGACUCCUACGGGAGGCAGCAGUAGGGAAUAUUGGGCAAUGCUCGCAAGAGUGACCCAGCCAUGCCGCGUGCAGGAAGAAGGCCUUCUGGGUUGUAAACUGCUUUUGGAAGGGAACAAAACGGGCAUGCGUGCCAACUUGAGUGUACCUUCAGAAUAAGCACCGGCUAACUCCGUGCCAGCAGCCGCGGUAAUACGGAGGGUGCAAGCGUUGUCCGGAUUUAUUGGGUUUAAAGGGUGCGUAGGCGGCUUAUUAAGUCAGGGGUGAAAGACUGCAGCUCAACUGUAGCAGUGCCUUUGAUACUGAUGAGCUUGAGUACAGAUGAGGCUGGCGGAAUGGGUGGUGUAGCGGUGAAAUGCAUAGAUACCAUCCAGAACACCGAUUGCGAAGGCAGCCGGCUAAACUGUAACUGACGCUGAGGCACGAAAGCGUGGGGAUCGAACAGGAUUAGAUACCCUGGUAGUCCACGCUGUAAACGAUGAUUACUCGAUGUUCGCGAUAUACAGUGAGCGUCCAAGCGAAAGCGUUAAGUAAUCCACCUGGGGAGUACGCCCGCAAGGGUGAAACUCAAAGGAAUUGACGGGGUCCGCACAAGCGGUGGAGCAUGUGGUUUAAUUCGAUGAUACGCGAGGAACCUUACCUGGGCUAGA